AUUCUAGCUCUGUGAGGGAAAUAAAGGUCUCCUAGCAACUCAGCACCUUCAACAAACUACCCUUCCCAGGUUUAUUUGAGGUAAGCCGUGACUGUUUCAAGUGGUGUAUUGUUUUAAGUGUCUAACAAAUUCAUUUAAUUUUUCCCCCACCUCCAAAUCCCUUAAUUUCCUGUCUGUAAAACUGAGGCAGUCUUUCUGCAAAUAUUCAAAUAUGUGCAAAUGCUGAUUGUUUAACUUUUAAAGCCCUAAAUGGCUUCAGUGCUGUAUACCUGAAGGAGCAUCUCUACCCACAUCAUUCAACCCAGAAACUGAGGCUCUGAGGGCCUUCUGGUGGUUCCCUCAUUGUGAGAAGUGAAAUAUAGGGAACCAGGCAGAGGGCCUUCUCAGUAGUGGCACCCACCCUGUGGAAUGCCCUCCUGUCAGAUGUCAAAGAGAUAAAUAAUUAUAUGAUCUUCUGUAGACAUCUGAAGGCAGCCCUGUAUCAGGAAGCUUUUAAUAUGUGAUCUUCUCUUGAGUUUUUGUAUAUUGUGUUGGAAGCCGCCCAGAGUGGAUGUUGCAACCCAGUCAGAUGGGCGGGGUACAAAUUAUCAUUAUCAUUAGUUUCAUUAGUAUAUUAUAUCAUACUUCAAUAUUAGAUAUUUGUCUGUUGAUAUGUGACAAUAAUAACUGACCUGUAGAUUAUAACAAUUAAAAUGCUCAUUUCUCCACAUUUUCAUAACAGUUUGUGAUACAUCUUUUAAAAGGUCUGUGUGAAAAUUCGUCUGCCUUUUAGUGCAAAUUUAUCUGCGUAGGCCAGGGGUCAGCAAACAUUUUCAGCAGGGGGUUGGUCCACUGUCCCUCAGACCUUGUGGGGGGUCGGACUAUAUUUUGGAAAAAAAAAUAUGAACGAAUUCCUAUGCCGCACAAAUAACCCAGAGAUGCAUUUUAAAUAAAAGCACACAUUCUACCCAUGUAAAAACACCAGGCAGGGCCCACAAAUAACCCAGAGAUGCAUUUUUUAAAAAAGGACACAUUUACUUGUGUAAAAACACACUGAUUCCCGGACCGUCCGUGGGCUGGAUUUAGAAGGCAAUUGGGCUGGAUACAGCCCCCGGGCCUUAGUUUGUCUACCCAUGGCGUAGGCACAUUGUAGUCUGCAAUUUCCCUUCCUAUGUACAUUUUUGCAAAGCCAUUUCCCUGAAUGUAAUGCAUCCUUGUGUUAUUUUCACUAAUAUAUGCAUUCAUCCUGGUAUAUACCUCUUUGUACACAUUGUUUGGCAGGAGAACUGCACUGCAAAAUUCAGAGAAACGUGAAUUUCAAAGGACGGCUGUGUUUCGGUCUGUGUAAUAUUUCAGAAAGUGAAAAUUUGAUAAGUUCACAUUUAAAUGUGAACGUAAUUGAGUUUCUCUCCCAAUCCUACUCAAAAGUAAGUCCCUCCAAAUAGAAGACGCCUUCAUCCCGGUAUGGUUCCCCUUUAUCACAUAUAUAACAGCCCAACAAGAGAAGAACAAGAAUCCGCCAACAGCAGACAAAUCAAUCUGGCUAACCUGAUCCAAAAAAACACACACACAUACCCCACUCACACACAAAAACAAAUCUCACUACAGCCAACCAAAGACAACCAACCACACCCUACACCACUCCCAACCUCUCUCACCACCAAGGAAAUACAACAAGCGAAUAUUAAGAGAACCCACACGUGACAAUGACACAAAACCCCACACAUACACUAAGCAGAAGAGGAAUAUUGCCACUCGACAACAUUCACCAUUCCCCCCUUCCCAUCUUUCCCCUUCUUUUCUUCCUAACCUAACACUGUAUGCAACAUUAAUGUCUCACAACAAAUGAAACUGAUCUGUAGAAAACACAACUUGAAAAAAGAGACAAUGCAUGUAUUUUUGUAAACUAAGAAAUCUUUACUAAAAUAUAUAUUUUAGAAAAUUAAGUCCCUCUGAAUUCAACAGGACUUGCCUUCCUAGGACAUAUGCUUGGGACUGCAGCGAAUGACAUGAACGGUGCGCAUCUGAGAGAGCUUUGUAACUGUGGCUCUGCUUUGCCUAGGGCUGCCUCUGAGCAAUUUACGUUUACUUCUUCCCAGCGUUUAUUUGGAACGGUCUCUUUUGUUACAGCCCUCCCCUUCUUGGAGUGACUCCGCUUUAAAUCUCAUUCACAGUCCUCCUUCAGUGGGUUGUACAAUUAGCUUGGUCAAGUGAGCUGCAGCUUGCUAAUCAAUAGGAGUUGAAAUGGAUGGCAAAGGCAUGGCUUUGUUGGACUGUAAAUUGUUUGCAAGCUCUCGACAGUGUCUUUGCCGGGGAAACUCUAUGCCUUUUAUUUGAUCUGGUUUUGGUCAGCAUCCUGAGCCCCAUGGCUAAGUGCACUUUAUUUUCUUUAAACAGAUGUUUUAUCUGUCACACGUAAUGCCUAUUGGAUUAGGUAAUUCCAGGUGAUCAUGUCAGCUUGUCCUACAUAAUCCUUUACAGGAAAGGCAACCUAAUCAGAAUUACUGAGUCAAUCCAGGAAAUGCAUUUGUCUUCCUUUCAUUGUCAUAUUUUUGCUGUCAUGGAAAAUCAUUUAUCACCAUAAACUAUGUGCUUGAAUCCUUCUGCUGCAUGAUAUAUCACGUUAAUUUUAUAUUGGCUAACUCCUGGUUCUUUCACUCUGAAAUCAAAAGGGGGGGGCAUUCUAUUUUAUUUUUUUUACAGACAGAAAUAUAGCCUCCUCAAAGUCCCCCCUCCGAACUGCAGCAAACAUUCCUUCCGCAGCCAUAUGCUGCUGUUGAAAUUUACACUGUAGCAGCAAUUAAUUCAUUGUGCUAGGCCAGUGAUUUUCAUACCCAAAAGCUGUGGGUCUGAUGCUUCUGAGAGCUGAGCCAGCCAUGGGGGGGGGGGGGCAAACACAUUUGCCUAGGGUCCACUCUAUUUACUCCUACAAAGUGUAGGAUAGGGUGGUUGGGUGGGGAUGGAGAAUAGAAACACCCUCCUCACCUGCCUUAUACAGUGGUACCUCGGGUUACAUACGCUUCAAGUUACACACUCUGCUAACCCAGAAAUAGUGCUUCAGGUUAAGAACUUUGCUUCAGGAUGAGAACAGAAAUCGUGCUCCGGCGGCGUGGCGGCAGCAGGAGGCCCCAUUAGCUAAAGUGGUGCUUCAGGUUAGGAACAGUUGCAGGUUAAGAACAGACCUCCAGAAUGAAUUAAGUACUUAAGUACUUACUUGAGAGCCAGUGUGGUGUAGUGGUUAAGAGCGGCAGACUCGUAAUCUGGUGAACCGGGUUCACGUCUCUGCUCCUCCACAUGCAGCUGCUGGGUGACCUUGAGCUAGUCACACUUCUUUGAAGUCUCUCAGCCCCACUCACCUCACAGAGUGUUUGUUGUGGGGGAGGAAGGGAAAGGAGAAUGUUAGCCGCUUUGAGAAUCCUUCGGGUAGUGAUAAAGCGGGAUAUCAAAUCCAAACUCUUCUUCUUCUUCUCUUAACCCGAGGUACCACUUCCUGUAUUAACCUUCCUGUGCUCUGCUGCUUCAAGUCUCUUUUCUCCCAAACCAGCAAUGGACUAAGGGAGGUGUGGGGCUGCGAAGUGGGGUUCGGGUCACAUCAUUCAUGCAUCCUGUUUUGACAGCAUUCGGAGCAGGGAGAUGUGUGGUACUGGAUGCAGGACAAGCCAGGCAAGAGGAAUCAGACAAUUGUGCCCUAAGUAGAAGUGUAGUAAAGCAACAAUCUCCAUUCUGCCCCAUGGGCACUGCAGUGAGCGCCGCAGUGAAUCUUAUUCCCCAAACUACAUUUUCUGUCUCACUGUCCAUUGUGGCAAAACGAUGUCAAUUAUGCAAGUUGCAUAGUCAUUAUGUUAUUCUACCCCGUUCAUUUCAGUGCAAAGGAAAUGCCGUGCAAAGGACGGUGGGGCUAGCUCAGUUGCUUAGAGCGUGGUGCUGAUAACGCCAAGUUUGCAGGUUCGUUCGAUCCUUGGAUGGGACAGCUGCAUAUUCCUGCAUUUCAGGGCAUUGGACUAGAUCAGAGCUUUCCAAAUUUUUCAUGUUGGUGACACACUUUUAACACAUGCAUCAUUUCGCAACCCAGUAAUUCAGUUUUGCAUCAUUUCGUGACACAGUAAUUCAGUUUUACGAGCAAACCAGAGGUUAAACUAACCCCUUAUAAAAAAUACGGACACAUAUUACAUCACAGACCUACACACUGCAGCCGACACACUAACAUGUCACGACACACAGUUUAGAAAACUCUACACUAGAUGAACCCAAGGGGCCUUUUUAACUCUACAAUUACAGUGGUACCUCGCAAGACGAACGCCUCGCAAGACGAAAAACUCGCAAGACGAAAGGUUUUUUCAUUUUCGAGUUGCUUCGCAAGACGAAUGUCCCUAUGGUCUUGCUUCGCAAGACGAAAACGUCUUGCAAGUUUGUUUCCUUUUUCGUAAAACCGUUAAAACCCAGGGUGCAUUGCUGGAAGAGGUGCAGUUGCGACUUGACCUCGAGGAGCAACACAUUGCACGCGGUGUGGUGGCCUUUCUGAGCUUUUUAAAGAGUUUGCUGGAUUUUGAAGCUUUUCCAAAACUUCUUCUGCAGCUGUUUGGUAAGUUAAACUUUUGAAACUUUUUUGGGGUUUUUUGGAUUUUGGGUUGGGGUGUUUAGAAUUCAAGGACUUGGUGUUGGGGAGGGGUUUGCAAGAAUCUGGGAGCUUGUGUGGUUUUUUUUGAAUUUUUAUGAUUUUUUGUGACCAUUGGGCCAUGUUUUUUUUUUUGAAAAAAAUUUCUGGGUUUUAAAUUUCUGUGUGCUGGGUGGCUGGGGGAACAGCUGGAGAGGUGUUUGCAAGAAUCUGGGAGCUUGUGUGCUUGUUUUUGAAUUUUUAUGAUUUUUUGUGACCAUUGGGCCAUGUUGUUCUUUUUUGAAAAAAAAUUCUGGGUUUUAAAUUUCUGUGUGCUGGGUGGAUGGGGGAACAGCUGGGGAGGGGUUUGCAAGAAUCUGGGAGCUUGUGUGCUUUUUUUUGAAUUUUUAUGAUUUUUUUGUGACCAUUGGGCCAUGUUGUUGUUUUUUGAAAAAAUUUUCUGGGUUUUAAAUUUCUGUGUGCUGGGUGGAUGGGGGAACAGCUGGGGAGGUGUUUGCAAGAAUCUGGGAGCUUGUGUGCUUUUUUUUGAAUUUUUAUGAUUUUUUGUGACCAUUGGGCCAUGUUGGGUUUUUUUGAAAAAAAUUUCUGGGUUUUAAAUUUCUGUGUGCUGGGUGGCUGGGGGAACAGCUGGGGAGGGGUUUGCAACAGUUGGGGAGGGGUUUGCAACAGUUGGGGAGGGGCUGGGGGACCAGUUGAGGUUUUUGAAGACUUUGGUGAUUUUUAAAGCUUUCCCAAAACUUCUUUUGCAGCCAUUUGAGGAUUUUGAAGACUUUGGUGAUUUGCAGCCAUUUCGUAAGUUAAACUUUUAAAACUUUUUUUGGGGUUUUUGGAUUUUGGGUUGGGUGUUUGGAAUUCAAGGACUUGGUUGUGGGUUUGAAAUGCUGAUUUUUUUUUUCUUUUUCUGAGUUUACAAAGGUAACAGCUGUGCUGCCAUGGGACCCAAGAAGGCUGCUGCUGCGGAGGCCGGCGAGAGGAAGAAGGAGAAGGUGACGCUGGAGAUGAAGAAGGAGAUCAUCCGGAAGCACGACGGUGGAAUGCGUGUGACGGACCUCGCCAGGGAGUACGGCAGGAACCCAUCGACCAUCGGGACCAUCCUGAAGAUGAGGGAGAAGAUCCUUGCGACUGAUGCAGCCAAGGGAGUCACCAGGAUCGUGAAGAACCGCCCAGCUGUUCUGGAGGAGGUCGAGAAGUUGCUGCUCAUCUGGUUAGAAGAGAAGCAGCGUGCAGGGGACACAGUGACUGAGGCCGUCAUUUGUGAGAAGGCCAAGGCCUUGCACGCAGACCUCAUCCGGGAACAGCCAGGAACCUCGGCCGAGCCAGAAGUCUUCAAGGCAAGCAGAGGCUGGUUUGACCGGUUCAAGGCAAGAUCCGGAAUCCACAGCGUGGUCAGGCAUGGAGAGGCUGCCAGUUCUGAUGUUCCUGCGGCUGAAGACUUUGCCUUGGAGUUCCUGGAGGUUGUGAAGACGGAGGGCUACGUUCCACAGCAGGUCUUCAACUGCGACGAGACCGGGCUGUUUUGGAAGAGGAUGCCCAAAAGGACUUUCCUCACACAGGAGGAGGCCAAGUUGCCUGGCCACAAGCCCAUGAAGGACCGUCUGACCCUGCUCUUCUGUGCCAACGCAAGCGGCGACCUGAAGAUCAAGCCCCUGCUGGUGUACCACUCGGAGAACCCACGGGCCUUCAAGAAACACAAGGUCGACAAGGAGCGGCUGAGUGUCAUGUGGCGAUCCAACAGCAAGGCUUGGGUCACACGUGUGCUGUUUGUGGACUGGGUCAAUCUUGCCUUUGGCCCUGCUGUCAAACAGUACCUGCUGGACAACGACCUGCCGCUGAAGGCUUUGCUUCUGAUGGACAAUGCUCCUGCUCAUCCUAAAGGCCUUGAGGUGGACUUGUUGGAGGAGUUCAGCUUCAUCAACAUCAUGUUCCUGCCGCCUAACACCACGCCACUGCUCCAGCCGAUGGAUCAGCAGGUCAUCGCCAAUUUCAAGAAACUCUACACCAAGGAGCUUUUCAGGCGAUGCUUCGAGGUGACUGAUUGCACCACCAUCACCCUGCGGGAAUUCUGGAAGGACCACUUCGACAUCGUCACCUGCUUGAAGAUGAUCACCACGGCCUGGAACGGGAUCAGCCAGAGAAAUUUGAAUUGCGCUUGGCGCAGCCUGUGGCCGGACUGUGUGGCACCAAGUGACUCUGGUGCAUCAGAGUCGACAGUGGUGCAGGACAUUGUUGCCUUGGGGAGGACCAUGGGCCUGGAGGUCACAGAGGAGGACGUCUGCGAGCUGGUGGAGGAGCACGACCACGAGCUGACCACCCAGGAGCUGGUUGAACUGCAGUCAGAGGUUGCGCAGGAGCAGGCCUCGCUGGAAGAGGAGGAAGCAACUGAGGAACGGCCGUCCUCUAAAGAACUGAGGGACAUUUGCCAGAAGUGGAAGGAGGUGCAGGCUUUGCAGAGCGGCACCACCCUAUCAAGCACGUGGCACAUGACCAAGCGAACACUUUUGAUACGACGGUCAUGUUGCCUCUCAGGGAGCUGCUGAAAAGGCGGAUGAAGCAGCAGACCAUGGACAGGUUCCUCAGCAAGAAGCAAAGAGUGGAAGAGGAACCUUCUUCGAGUGGUCCCCCAGAGUCUUAGAAAAUGUAAUGUACCCUUUUUGAUUUUUAAAUGUUUUUCCUGUCAUGUUUAGAAACUUAAUUUAUUGUUCCUUCAAUUUUUGAUAUGCUCUUUAAAGUAUGUGUGACUUUAAAGAGCAGUUAAUAAACUCUUGUUGUACCAAAUUUGGCUUUGUUUGGACUUUUUUUGACCAUAGGAACGCAUUAAUUGAAUUUCAAUGCAUUCCUAUGGGAAACCGUGCUUUGCAAGACGAAAAAUUCGCUAGACGAAAAAACUCGCGGAACGAAUUAAUUUCGUCUUGCGAGGCACCACUGUAUAUGGUUCCAUGAUAUCAUUCGCAGACUGAAAACAACAACAGUGAAUACUGAUUGUAUUGAUGAAUUGAUUUCUAUUCCAUACAUGAGACAAAUAAGAAAACAUGGGUGAAAUAUACUCUUUAUUGCAGCUCGUAAAACAGUGAAUGAAUUUCCCCCCAAAGCUCUGGCUUUGUAUACGUUAUUUACACGAUGGGUCCCGUCUGAUUGGCUGAUUCUGCAUCCUUCCUGAAGCCUGAUUGGGCUGCUCCUGCAGGCCAAUCAAGCUGUUGCAUUCUAGGAUCCUACCUGCCUAUUGUUCUAGGAUCCAAACUUAGUACAUAACAAUGGGCAAUUUCUGCUCCCUGUUUUCGUUGGAAUUCUCUGGCAUUCCUAAUCCUGCUAUGGUCCUUCCUCCAGACUUAGUGAUCCUCACUGGACUAUCUGUAAUCUAUCAGAUCCACUGUUGCAGUUACUGAAUCAUGUUGGUGAAUGGAUAGACAUUUGCCAGGUAGGAAUCAUACUGGACUAGUAGGAGGGCCUGGUGCAGAUGGUAACCUGGUGUCAGGGACUGGACUGAAGAGGAAUGGUGGAGACUGCCCCACCUUCUCCUGAACCUUCCCAAAAGGAGGAGGACAGUAUAGAUUUACAACGGUGGUUUGCAGAAGGUCAUGACUCUGAGACAGAAGAAGGACAAAGGUGGGAGAUAAUGGAAGAAGGGGAGUGGGGAGCAGCAGUCAGAACAGCUGACUGACAGAACAGCUUUCUCAUUAGAAAGCAUUCCAGACCCCCCUUCUCCUAGGACCAGGAGGGCAGUGAAAGCAGGAAAGCAGAAAGCGAAUACAGUGGUACCUCAAGUUACAUACGCUUCAGGUUACAGACUCCGCUAACCCAGAAAUAGUGCUUCAGGUUAAGAACUUUGCUUCAGGAUGAGAACAGAAAUCGUGCUCUGGCGGCGCGGCAGCAGCAGGAGGCCCCAUUAGCUAAAGUGGUGCUUCAGGUUAAGAACAGUUUCAGGUUAAGUACAGACCUCCGGUACGAAUUAAGUACUUAACCCAAGGUACCACUGUAGACGUAAGGCCUUACACAGCCACCACAAAAGGGGUGGAGCUGCUGACGACUGAGAGUAAAGUGGUGGAGGGGAGAUUACUCAGAGCAACGCCAUUAUCGUAGAGACGGCAUCCUGCAUCUCUCUCUGUGAAUAUUGGAUAAAAUACCUUGGUAAGAGCUUCUUGUAUUUCCAUUACUGGCAACUUGCUGUGAGGGAGGAGGAUCAGAUUCCCUGAAGUCUGACAUCUGGUUGGAUUAAGAAGAUUUAGCCUCUCUCAGAGCUGCCUGCCACAGUUAUUGCUAGAACAUCAACAUGAAUAUCAUGCAGAAGCUUGGUCACUGUGCCUUUCCAUCUCCCUUCCAAGUUCCCUGUCCGACAACCUUCUAAUUUUGAAUGUAUUUACCUAGUGUUUCUGCUGCCUAGAAUCAUAGAAUCAUAGAAUCAUAGAGUUGGAAGAGACCACAAGGGCCAUCGAGUCCAACCCCCUGCCAAGCAGGAAACACCAUCAGAGCACUCCUGACAUAUGGUUGUCAAGCCUCUGCUUAAAGACCUCCAAAGAAGGAGACUCCACCACACUCCUUGGCAGCAAAUUCCACUGUCGAACAGCUCUUACUGUCAGGAAGUUCUUCCUAAUGUUUAGGUGGAAUCUUCUUUCUUGUAGUUUGGAUCCAUUGCUCCGUGUCCGCUUCUCUGGAGCAGCAGAAAACAACCUUUCUCCCUCCUCUAUGUGACAUCCUUUUAUAUAUUUGAACAUGGCUAUCAUAUCACCCCUUAACCUCUUCUUCUCCAGGCUAAACAUGCCCAGCUCCCUUAGCCGUUCCUCAUAAGGCAUCGUUUCCAGGGCUUUGACCAUUUUGGUUGCCCUCCUCUGGACACGUUCCAGUUUGUCAGUGUCCUUCUUGAACUGUGGUGCCCAGAACUGGACACAGUACUCCUAACAGCCUUAUUUCCUCAGCUUGCAGAGCGGGUCUUGGGAUACACCUUGAAUUAUUGCAUUGCAUGCAUGCUAGAGCUCCCUUGCCUGGGGGCACCCCAGAAAUUAACUUUCAUGACAACCCGUGGAACUUUUAUGACAAUAUAACUUUUCCUAUAUGGGAUGUUUGUUCGUUUUAUGAGCCACCUGUUUAAAAACAAAACACUUGUUCCUUGUAUCUAAAAGCAACAGUGUGUAAUUAAAUUUUUAAAAAAAAACACCCAGAAAAUCAAGCUGUGAGGGCCAGUGCCGGAUUUACGCAUAAGCUGAAUAAAGCUAUAGCUUAGGGCCCCAUUCUCCUGGAGGCCCCCAAAAAAAUUAAAGAAAAAACAAACCUGGAUGUACAGUUUCAAAAGAUGAGAUAAAAAACAAAUAAAAUAAAACCUACAUACAGCAACAGUGUUUUGUGUUGUGGAGGCUCCUAUUUGUUAUGUGCAAAUGGCUUUCGAUACCUAUUAGGUCCAUAAAUUACCAUAUAGCAUAUAUUCAACACAUAAAACAGCAACAAUUUGUUGUUGACAAAGGACAGCUGGACAUAUCAAGGGCCCCAUCACCUUCAGUAGCUUAGAGCCUCAUCAAACCUAAAUCUGGCCCUGGUGAGGGCAGCAAAAGGAGUGGAUGGCAGGCCUCACUCCUGAAGCUUCACUUCCAAGGGAACAUAUGGGAGACCAUGUCAAGACUGUUCCCCACAUCUGUUGUCCGCUCACAGAAGGCUUGUAAUUCAUCCAUCUCUGCAUACAGUUGCAAAUUUGGAACAGGUCGCCAGUCAAGGGUAACGACUUACCAAAACAAGAGAAGACAAGGAAGCAAUCUUGGUGGUUUCCCAGGAAGUAUGCUUUGUUUACAACACGCCUUUCCCCCGCUAAGGAAGAUGAUUUAGUUACGGCUUAUCCAGCUGCGGUGUCAGAAGUGUUCAGUUUGAUUUAGUAAAGUGAGAGGAGAAAAUGCCCAUCAUUCAUUCAUACUUUGUUAGCAGCAAGGAGAAACUGGCUGCAGCUAUAGGAAGGGCAAAAGGUCGGUGUCCCCCCUGUCCCCCCAGUUGCUAUUAAUCUGCAUGCAGGAGAAAUCGAGGCAGUGAAGGAAGAUGGUUUGCAACACUACAGGCAAGAGGGAAAAUUGAGCAAACUAAAUCUGUUUUUUCCCCUUUCCUCAAACCAUGUUAAUUAUAGCAACUUCUAAUAUUAUUCUGUCAAUAUUGGUGGCCUGAGGGCAAGCAAGGAUGGGCAGCCAAAGAGAAGCUCAGCCUAAAGAGCUGGGCCAGAGUCAGCAUAUAAAAUUGGCCUUGUGGGAUCCUACUGGUCUCUUGAGUCUCCUGAUCUCUGUUGACCUGAUAGCUGCAACACCACCCUCUAGCCAUCAGAAGUGGUGGUUCUGAAGUAUAGCAGAAAACUGGCCAGCAGCAUCCCUCUAUUGACUAUACACCUGGAUUUUCCCGGACAUUUUGCCGAUUUCUGCCUGGACACUGUUUCCGACUGCAGUAUUCCGCAUAUGUCUGGGAAAUUGGCAGAAUGGGGGAUAAUGCAGGCUUGCCAUGUGUCCAGGAAAUUCCAGACAUACGACAAGCCUACAUUAUCCCCCAUUCUGCCAACAUAUAAUUCAUGAUUGAGGUGUCAUUUUGAAAUGGCUGCCUGGGCUGGCAAUUGCAUUGAGUGAAAAUAAUAUACAAUGUACACGCAAACAAUUUUAUUUUAUUUUUUACUUCAUGAUAACCAAAGAUACAUAUUUUGGAAUGUGGAUGGUGUUGUUUGUCUGGUUAUGUAUGAUUAUUUUCAUAAUUUUCUGGUAUAUUUGGCAUUUCUUUUACAGAAGUUUACUGCCUUACUUUUCAAAAAAACUGCAUGGGUACAAAUUCAAUGGCCUAAUUUUUCUAUCUUUUUUGUGAAUCAGUGAGCAUUUUUCAAAAUGGUUCUUGUGUUCAUAAUAUUAUUUUCAACUUUGUUCAGCCUUACAUAUUCACAGCAAUGUUAACAGGAAAUUAUUUCAUUACCAAUGAAUGAAGCCAUGUGUUCACUAUCACUCCGAUGAGUUUAUAAAACUGCUCUGAGUUUUGUUUAAAUAAGAAUGGUGGGCUACCAUCCUUAAAGAAUAAAAUAAUUAGGAUAAUAAACUGUGAAUCAUAGUCCAUGGAGUAAACAUGGAAAGGUCUAGAUUGAACUAGCUGGAUUAAGAUAGGUUGGCGUUGUCAGCAAACUCAACUGUUAAACCCGGGGCUUAAAGAGUAUUCAAUUUCUUCACAUUCUUUAUCCACAAAAUCUGGCAUAAAUAUAUACAUAUAUAUGCUCCAGGCUUAAAAUGGAUUGGGCUUCAAUGGCAUACUUUUCUCCUCUAAAUUCCUGAUAACUUUCCCUGAGGAGCAGGGUUCUAAUUCCCGUGCCCUCCUUGGAGAUAUAAGGAUAUAUAAGGAUAUAUAAGAGAUAUAAGUUAGAUGGACUUUGAUGAACUUUUGUUGUUUCUGGGAGCUCUCCCAAGUCCCACAAUAUGUGCAACCAACCAGCUGCUUGGAACUGGCUCUCUCUGUUAUCUGAGACCUGCCCCUUGCCACCAGUUGCUACUGGUCCUCUGCUUCGGGUCACUUCAUCUCACACCUUGCCAAGUAUCCUGAGGACUCAGAGAUUGAAAAGGCCAGAUAGUGCCAUUGCACUCACCCCACUGAGAAAAAUGUACACCUGUCUUCAGCCAUUGAGUUUUCCUUGCAGGUUUGCCCCAGAGAUCAUUGGGGUGGAUUGAGCAGAGGCGCUUUUUGAGCCAAUUAUGUUAUGGCCAAAGAUGUCCCACAUUUGCCGAGACUUUCCCUUCUACAUAAGGCUGCUGUUGUCCGAAGUGCUCUGUGCAAAUCUGUUGUUGUUGUUGUUUAGUCGUUUAGUCGUGUCCAACUCUUCGUUUUUUGUUUUUUUUUUAAGAAUAAUUUUAUAUUAACCGACCAAUCACAUCAAAUCAAACCAAAUUACAUAAAUUCCAAAUUACACAGCCGAAUUUUAAAUUUUUGUUGGGGGUACCCAUAUUUCAAGUUCGAAGGGAUCCAAUCAACUUCUUGCUUCUUACUGCUGUUUUAAUGUCCAUAAAUCUAACCUUAUGAUGUUCACAGUACUAUCCAGUCCUUUCUUAUUAUUUUUCCACAUCUCUUGUUGUUAUUUUCAUAUAUUUUUCCUUUCUCUUUGUGACCUCUGAUAGUCUCCGCAAGCUGGUUAGAACAGUUUGUAAUCCUGCGUGGAUAUUAUUUUUUUAUCCAGUAGCCAUAUCCAGACGUUUUCCAUAUAACAUCACUUCCAUACAUCAAAACAGUCUUAGCGUCAUUAAUCUUCACCAAUCUGCCUCCUUUCUCAAAACCUCUGAGGAGGUUCACUAGGAAUGCAGUCUGAAAACAAAUCCGUUCUUCCUCCCGGCUAUAAAUCCUUUGGCAAGAUGGCGACUCCGAAUUAAUUGCUGCGCCAUUCCCAAAAGCUCUUAUUGCUUCUCGGUCUCCAUAAAGCAUACUUUUGGUUAAAGUUUAUCUCCACACAGACCUUAAUCAUCCUGCUUGGGUCAGUUCAACCGACGGUUCUAAUGAGGAGGGGUUCUUGUAAAUCACAUAGAAGGAAAGUAAAAAGGUCCCUCCCCCCAUUCAGCCCCGUUGUCAACAUACCCCGCCUUUGGUGUAUCUUCAUCGUAAAAUAUUCCUGUUUCUCCAGCCCGUCGUCAUCUUUCGCAGAGGUCACUUAAAUUAGCAGACUUCACUCCCUUCUUCACUUGAAAUAUGUGCAUUUGCUUCUUUUGUAAUUAAUUAUUCCAAAUUGCUGCAACUAGUGCGCGAUCAGAGACAGCGUCCAGGAGAGCCGAGGUCCACACAGGGGCAUUCUGCCUAGGGCCCUCACCCCCUUCUUUCGAAUUAGGGGGUGAUUUAUGGGCACAGCAGGCAAGGGCAGUGUUCCCCAUUUCCUUGGGGCAACAAGGUAGGCUGCCUACUCCCAUAAUAGCCUCUUAAUUACCCCGUGUGGGUCGGAGAGAUGGUAUUGUCGGCCAUCUUCCAAUGCGCCCCCUAGUGGCCCCCGUGUCCAACUCUUCGUGACCCCAUGGGCCAGAGCACGCCAGGCACUCCUGUCUUCCACUGCCUCCCGCAGUUUGGUCAGACUCAUGUUUGUAGCUUCGAGAACACUGUCCAACCAUCUCGUCCUAUGUUGUCUUUGUCCAUGGAGUUUUCUUGGCAGGGAUACUGGAGUGGCUUGCCGGUUCCUGCUCCAGGUGGAUCACGUUUGGUCAAAACUCUCCACUAUGACCUGUCCAUCUUGGGUGGCCCUGCACGGCAUAGCUCAUAGCUUCUCUGCCUCCCGCAGUUUGGUCAAACUCAUGCUGGUAGCUUCGAGAACACUAUCCAACCAUCUCGUCCUCUGUCGUCCCCAACAUCAGGGUCUUUUCCAGGGAGUCUUCUCUUCUCAUGAGGUGGCCAAAGUACUGGAGCCUCAGCUUCACGAUCUGUCCUUCCAGUGAGCACUCAGGGCUGAUUUCCUUAAGAAUAGAUAGGUUUGAUCUUCUUGCAGUCCAUGGGACUCUUAAGAGUCUCCUCCAGCACCAUAAUUCAAAAGCAUCAAUUCUUUGGCGAUCAGCCUUCUUUAUGGUCCAGCUUUAUGGUCCAGCAAAUCUGUAGUUUUCUACUAAUGCCCUUUGUUUUUUAUACAUUUCCACUAAACUUUUGCAACUAAAGCAUCUGGAAGUUGCUGCCAUCGGCAACUGCGCCGACUCUGGAUCCGAUCCAUUAAUGCUCUUCUCCCAUUCUUAACGGUGGCUGGUCCAUGAAGGUUGAAAUGUAUUGGCAAUAAGCUUCAAAGCAGCCUAAAAGGAAAUCCUCAUUUUGUAGACGUAAGGAAGGAUGUAGGUUUAUUGAGAUGUCAGUCCAGCUCCAUUAAUGAGCAAUAAAUGUAGAAAUGCGCUGGCCAACUUUCCAUUGCAGACUUGCUUUUUCAUAAUCAUGUUAACGUUGACCCCUUUGGUUUACUUCAAUCUGUCCUUUAGCAUUACCUCCAUGCGGACGGGAGCAUAUGCAUACCAAACGGCUGAAUCUCACGGAGCAUAUGAUAAAAUUCAAAAUCACAGUGAGCCUCUUUAAUUCAACAGACCCACCAUGCUUGAUUGGAGGCAAGAUUCUAAGUGGUUGUCUCAUAAUUGCUAUACACAGAAGCAAUUGGCAAUGUAGGAAGCUACCUUAAGUGAGUCUAACUAUUGGUCCAUCUGUCCAGAAUCAGCAGCCAACAGACAAGGCGCUUACCUGACCUGGCAGCCAGGUUGCUGCUGCUUACUGAAUGGCGAGGGGGAAUGGCGAGGUCAGUGUGAUGAAAAUGUCUUGGUGGAGCCAAUCUGGCACUCCCGCUGGGGUGUUUGCACCAUGCUGACCUUGCUACCACCUCACCCUUCCCUGUCUACCUCCUGGUAAACUGCAGAACAUGGGCAAUGGGAGGUCAGGCGAUGCCCUUGCUGACAACUACUGCACAAUAUUGUUGUUCUCCGUCUAGUAAUGCCUGGUUUUUCCCAGCCGUGGUACCGGAGAUGCUUUAACUGGAGACACUAGCAGUUGAGCCCAGGGCCGUCUACCUUCUUCUUCUUCUUCUUCUUCUUCUUCUUCUUCUUCUUCUUCUUCUUCUUCUUCCUCUUCUUCCUCUUCUUCCUCUUCUUCAUCAUCAUCUUCUUCCUCUUCCUCUUCCUCUUCCUCUUCCUCUUCCUCUCCCUCUCCCUCUCCCUCUCCCUCUCCUUCUCCUUCUCCUUCUCCUUCUCUCACUUGUAGCCGAGUAAGAUUGUCUUCCAUAUACACGGUUUUAACAGUGAGUCCGUAAGUGACUGUGGAGGCCAAUUCUGGAUCCACACAUCCUUCCACAGUGGGGACAUAGGUUUUGGGGUGGGAGAUGAUCAUGGUGAGGGUUUGCCAAACAUGCCUAAGCAUGUUUCCCCCUUUUGUCUUGAGUUCGAGUGUCUUCAAAGCCCAUGACACCUUUGGUAAAGGCUGUUCUCCAACUGGAGCGCUUGCAGGCCAGUGUUUCCCAGUUGUCGGUGUUUAUACUACAGGGGUACCUCGGGUUACAUAUGCUUCAGAUUACAUACGCUUCAGGUUACACACUCCGCUAACCCAGAAAUAGUGCUUCAGGUUAAGAACUUUGCUUCAGGAUAAGAACAGAAAUCGUGCUCCGGCGGCGUGGCGGCAGCUGGAGGCCCCAUUAGCUAAAGUGGUGCUUCAGGUUAAGAACAGUUUCAGGUUAAGAACAGACCUCCGGAACGAAUUAAGUACUUAACCCGAGGUACCACUGUACUUUUUUUUUAGAUUUGCCUUGAGAGAGUCUUUGAACCUCUUUUGUUGACCACCAGCAUUACGCUUUCCGUUUUAAAGUUUUGAAUAGAGUAAUUGCUUUGGAAGAUGAUAAUCAGGCAUCCGAACAACAUAAAAAAAGCUAGGUGGUCUACGCACCACUAAGUUGGCAUCUGUCUAUCUCAGGAGACGAUGGAAGAGUGCACCUUCAGGGGAGAAAGUCAUACUGUUGGAGAGUUACAGCAUCUGUUGUGGCUGGAGAAACAAAUACAGGAGAGACAUGUUUGGUUGCAGCUGGGACAGACAAAGGUGUCCAGUUGUGCUGCUGCAGAAGUACCAUGGGGUCUCUUCUCCCUGCGCUCCUCUUAGUGGUGAUUCUUCCUCUGGUCACUGCUAUGGAUACAUGACCUCAUUGAUUGACUGGAUCUAGCACUGGGCAUGCCCUAUUUAAAGCUAGAGAAAUGAGCAUGCAAUUCAGCAUCUUAUUAGUAAGGCAGAGGAGAAGGAGCAAAAGGGAGUCUUCAUCAAAUAUGAUGCACAAAGGUUGUAGAAACAUGAAAGGAUAACUGAUACCAGGGAGUGAGGGGAGGGAUAUAGUGACAAGUUGCCGAGGAUAAUAGACUGGUGCUAAUGGGUAGAAAAAUACUUUCAGAAGAGAUUCCUACAUUAGGUUUUAUAUUUCCCACAGCUGCCCAGUGAUAUCACACUGAUUCAUACCGUGAAUCAGUGUUAACAUUGGUUAACAUUGCGGAACACUUAGCAAUACCACACCCGCCAUUUCCCGAAUAGGUAUCUUUGUGGAUGAAUGUCUGGGAUAAACCAGUGGAAACUGGUUAAAAAGUGUCAGGAGCAAAGAUGAUGAUAAUUGCAAAUAUGCUGUGCCAACUAUAUAAGACAGAAGGGAGGCGGGUGGCACUGUCGUCUAAACCACUGAGCCUUUUGGGCUUGCUAAUCGGAAGGUCAGAGGUUCAAAUCCACUUGAUGGGGUGAGCUCCCGUUGCUCUGUCCCAGCUUCUGCCAACCUUGCAGUUUGAAAGCACGGCAGUGCAAAUAGAUAAAUAGGUACCACUGUGGUGGGAAGGUAAACGGCAUUUCUGUGUACUCUGGUUUCCAUCAUAGUGUCCCGUUGUGCCAGAAGCGGUUUAGCCAUGCUGGCCAAUGAUCCAGAAAGCUGUCUGUGGACAAAUGCUGGCUCCCUUGUCCUGAAAGUGAGAUGAGCGCCAUAACCCCAUAGUUGCCUUUGACUGGACUUAACCAUCCAGGGGUCCUUUACCUUUUACCUUUAUGCAGUGCUUUUUUCUGGGGGUACACAGGGGUACACAUACCCCUAAACAUUUUGUGAAUCUUUGUACUUUUUUCCAUUUACUGUAUUUAUUUCCCCCAAUUUGAACUAUAAAAUUGUGAUUUUUCUUGAGUCAAAAUGAGAGUACCCCUAAACUUUUUUUUUAAGAAAAAACAACACCUUUAUAUAAGAAUGAGGGAAGAUUUUAUCUGUGGUUCCCACCUCUUUGACCAGUGGAUCACAAAUCUUUUCAAAGGAUGUUUUGGUCAACCCCUUAGGAGUCUUAUUAGCUGUUCUAAGGUCCGCUUAGUCUUUUAAGAACUGUUUCUAGCUCUUCAGGUUAGCUAGAUAGCAUGGUGAUGGUUGCAUUUGUUGAAACUACAUCUGAAAAUGGUUAGUAGGAAAUGAGGCUACCAGGGACAUAGGUCAUGGGUACAAGCAGACCACCAUCUUUCUCUGCAAAUGGUUACCCAGAAAGAGACAAAACAGCAUAACAUCACUCUGCUUCCAGAGUAUUUUGAGACGCAAAGUGUGUAAAUGCCAUAUACAGUACUUAAAGCACAUGAGGCCUUGCUCCCAAAAAUCCAGAGAACUGUAGUUUUUAAGGGUGCUUGUAUUGUAGCUCUCGGAAGGCUAAACUACAGUUCCCGUGAUUCUGCUUGCUUUAAGUUUGCUUUAAAUGCAUAGUGUGCUCGCAGCUGUAGUGUCAAGGAACACAGCAAGCUCUCACUGUCCAAAUAGCUGGAAGCUGUUUUCAUAAAGAAAAGGGGCAGUUCACCAUGUCAGUACUCAUAUCAUUUUGAAAUAUUUUAAACUAUUUAAGAAUAGAUAAAAAUUUACUGGUACUUAAAAGAUCCACACACACACCCAGAAAAACCAGGACUGACAUAAGACAGAACAGACUAGCCAGUCAACAUGUGUGAAAUGGACACAACGCAGAUCAAGAUUAUUCUGUCCAUUCCUAAUUGGAAAGGAACAUCAUAAAUGUUGCUGAAAUAUUAAUAGUGGAGAAAGGGCAGAAAUUGACGGAUUGAUUGUGUAAGUGUGUGCAUGUGUGUUUUUGUGCUUUAUUCUAUUUGCAGAGGUGGAAGGAUGUGAUGCAUUUCCUGUAAUGGUUUGAAUUAAUAUCUAGUGGCUUUUUUCUGCAUAGUAUUUUUUCCCCCCUAUUAGUGAUCUGAGGAAAGAAAUAGCAUUUGGAAUAUAUGAAACAACCAGGAUAUGUGAAACUAUUGUGCAUUUUAUCUGUUUCAUUUUGGGCGAUUUUUCAUAAAAGCAGAAGCAACUGGUGGAUUUGUUACAACGUGUAAGGACAGCUGGAUAGAUGGAUAGAUAACAAUGACAUAUUUAUUAGCAGGAAUCCCCAUCUUAUUGGCCAUGUCAGUACUGUCUUAACUCGACUUUAUUUAUUUGCUAGCAGAAAGUGCCAGUGUUGCCUGAAAAUUCUAAGAAACAAAAAAUAAUAACGAGAUGCAUAAAUGGAUGCCAUAAUUUGUUAGUUUUUUAGGCUGCGCACAGUGGCCCCCCCUAUAACCCAGGCCCCCAAUGAGACCAAGAGAACACAUGGCCCAGAUCUGGUCCCAAAUGAAUCUGGGGAUAGGGCUAGUGUUUAAUUGGGGCUCAUGAAAUCCUAUACAGUCAGAGGGGGGCUGGGGAAGGAGACACCACAUAUACCCCCACCCACCUUGUUUUCAGUGCAGCGUGGAUCCAUCAUGUCAAAUUGGUUACCAGUAUCUUCAGAGGCAUCCAAAUCAGCACAGUUUAGACUGGUUUGGCCCGCCAUCUUGAUUCAAAACAGUGUUUUAUGGUAUCCAAGCCAAGGCCAGAGCUCCAUGCUUUCAGGAACCAUUGCACCAAACUGAAUGGUGAUAUAUUAAGAGACGUCCAGAUUGGUGCGGCUUGAACCAUCAUGCCAGUCUGGUCAAAGUAAAGGUAAAGGGACCCCUGACCAUUAGGUCCAGUCGUGACCAACUCUGGUGUUGCGCGCUCAUCUUGCUCUAUAGGCCGAGGGAGCUGGCGUUUGUCCUCAGACAGCUUCCGGGUCAUGUGGCCAGCAUGACUAAGCUGCUUCUGGCGAAACAGAGCAGCACACGGAAACACCGUUUACCUUCCCGCCGGAGCGGUACCUAUUUAUCUACUUGCACUUUGAGGUGCUUUCGAACUGCUAGGUUGGCAGGAGCAGGGACCGAACAACAGGAGCUCACCCCGUCACAAGGUCCAAUCAAAUUGGGCUAUGGUAUCUUCAGAAGCAUCCAGUCUGCCAUCAGAAUUCAAAACAGGGUCUGGUGAUAUGCAAACAUGGUCCCAAAAUCAGCUCCUCGAUCUCAGGAACCGCCACACUGAAUUCAGUGAUGAUAUCUCCAGAGGCAUCGGUGCAGUUUAGGGUGUUUUGGUACACCAUCUUUGAUUCAAAAUGGCAUCCGGCACCCAAGCAUAGAUGGAAACUGGCUCCUUUGCCUUGGGAACAUACACACCAAAUUGGGUGACAAUAUCUCAAGAGUUGUCUGAAACCACAGACAGACAAACCACUUUGCAAAAUAUAUUGUUUGUUGGUUUGUUGGAAUGCAUUUAUGUAUUUAAAUAAUUUAUACAGUCGUACCUUGGUUUUCAAACAACUUAGUUCUCAAAUGUUUUGGCUCCUGAAUGCCACAAACUCACAAGUGACUGUUAUGGUUUGCAAAAAAAAUUUGGAAGCUGAACAUCUGACGGGGCUUCCACAGCUUCCGAUUGGCUUCAGGAGCUUCCUGCAGCCAAUCAGAAGCCACGCUUUGGUUUCCAAACGUUUAGGGAGUCGAAUAGACUUCCGGAACGGAUUCCGUUCAACUUGCAAGGUACGAUUGUACAGCCAUUUUCACCUAAAGGCCACAAAGCAUUUUCCUACAAUCCUCAAAGACACCAUUAUUAAAACCAAAUACAAUUCAAAACUAAAUCCAUGCAAACAAAGUCAUAGUGUCGAUGGGCAACUUGGAAAUCCCACACAGUCCCCCCCCCCACCUCCACCCCAUCUAUCAUCAAACUUUGAAAUGGGCACUGCAAUGCUGAGAUUAACUGUGCAAUAGUGCAAGUGAUUCCCGUUGUGGUCCUCACUUCACCUUUUAUUUCAGUUUGUGUACAUUGUUGGUUUUCAGGCUCUGUCCUUAGGCUCUCUGAGGUUUCUUACAUUGAAGUUUAAUGGAUUUCAUCAAAAAUUAUCAGUAAUACUGGGUGACAUGGAAGACUGAGAGUUCACACCAGUCAGGAAGCUAUACAAAAAGUUUGUUAUCUUUAUUAAGCAAGAAAAGAACAGGAAAGACCUGACUCCAUCCAGAUUAAAAUUAAGUUCAAUGACUAAAGUAUGUUAUAUUAUAUUAUUUACUUAUUUCAUAAAGUUCAUAGACCGCUUGAUUGUAAAAAAACAACAAAAAACAUUCAAAGCAGAUUGCGAAAAAUAAAAAAGUAAAAUCAAGAAAAAUUCGCAACCCUGCUUCAAGAUAAUAAUUCUAUUCUAUUCUAUUCUAUUCUAUUCUAUUCUAUUCUAUAUACAUACCUCGCCCAUUUGACUGGGUUUCCCCAACCACUCUGGGUGGCUCCCAACAGAUUAAAAACAGAAUAAAAACCCUGCUGCUAAUGAGGGACAGGGGGAAUAAAUUUUAUACAGACACACACACACACACACACACACAUUUUUAUUGGCUUUUUUAACAUAUCAUUUCCAACAAUCUUUUAACAUAACUUCUUAUCUUAUACAAUGUUUUAGACUUCCAUCAAGAACCUCUGAUGAUUUUCCGUUCUGUAUCACUUAUUCUGCAUUUCUUAAUUUCUCUAUUACUCUGAAUUAUCAUUAACUAAUAAUUUUCUUCAUAGUCUUUCUUGCAAUAUUUCAAAUAAUCCUCCUUACAGAACUUCUUGCAGUCCUACAAAUGUAAUCUGUUCAUUACCAUUGCUUUUCAAAUAGUUCAUAUAUUUACUCCAGUCUUCUAAGAAUCUCUGGUCCUGUAGGUUUCGAAUCCUUCUUGUUAAUUUAUCUAAUUCUGCAUAGUCCGUUAAUUUCAUCUGCAAUUCUUCUUUCUUCGGUAAUUCUUCUUGCUUCCAUUUUUGUGCCAAUAAUAUUCUUGCUGCGGUCACUGCAUAUAAAAACAACUUACAGUCCUGUCUAUUAAUAUCCUCUCCUACAAUGCCAAGUAAAAAUGCUUCUGGUUUCUUAAUAAAUGUAUAUUUCAACAUCUUUUUCAUCUCAUUAUAUAUCAUUUCCCAGAUGUUUUUCACUUUUUUACAUUCCCACCACAUGUGAUAGAAAGUUCCUUCCUUUUCUUUACAUUUGCAACAUUUAUUACUUACUUUAUACAUUUUAGCUAAUCUCACAGGGGUGAUAUACCACCUAUACAUCAUUUUCAUCACAUUUUCUUUCAAAGCAUUGCAUGCUGUAAAUUUUAAUCCUUCUUUCCACAGCUUUUCCCAAUCUUUUAAUUGUAUGUUAUACCCAAAAUCUUUGGCCCAAUGUAUUAUAACCGACUUCACCUCUUCUGUUAAUUCUCUCCCCCCCUUUUCUUUUUAUUCAAAAUUAUAACAAGACAUAUUAUCCAAAAACAUAUCAGCCUUGUUUCCCCCCCAUUUUUCCUCCCUCCCCCUCCCACACAACCCCCCCCCCCCGACUUCCCUCAGUUCCAGUCUUUGGUUUCUCUGAGACUGCUGUUUUCUGCAUGUUACAAAGUUGUAUAGAUCCUCAAACUAUUUAGCUGAUUAUGAUCAAUAAAAAGUUUGUGAAUGUUUAUUCAAAACCUGCCAAGGAGUCCAGUUCGCUUUGUUGCGUCUUCAGAUACUUUGUAAAGGGUUCCCAUUCAUCCUUAAAGUCACAGUUAUCCUUGUCCUGUAGCUUAUAUGUCAGUUUUGCCUAUUCUCUUAAUUCUUAGCAAGGUGGUAGAGGCAACAGGGGGCAGUUCCGUCAGCACUGCAUGUACCUGUAGUUGCCGACUGGUCCAGAGCAGAUGUGGGCCCCAUGAUUGCCCCACAGUGGCAGUGGAAUAGCAUACCUUCCGACAUUUCUUUGAUGAAUAUAGGAACAUCCUAUUCCAUACCCUCCAACAUUUCUCCCAUGAAAAUAGGGACAGCCUAAGGGAAAAUGGAACAUCCUAUUAUCAAAUCAGAAACCAGGAUGGCUUCUGUAAAUCUGGGACUGGAAAAUAGGGACACGUGAAGGGUCUGGAAUAAAUCUGGCAGUGAAUUGCCUCACUUACCUGCUACUGCUGCUUCUGCCUCAACUCCAGCAACUCUGACCAUCUUUCCUCAUGGUCCUGUUUCUUGCCCCACUACAAACUCUUCUCUCUUCCCUCAGAAACUUGGUCAUGGGAGACCCUGUUGCUAAGCGCCUCCUCUGCCACUAAGUCUUUGUGACAUCAUCAGUGUGACAUCCAACAGAUGCUAGAAGCUUUGUGGCCACCACAAACCCCACAGCACAUUACAGUAUUGAUUUUGUUGGCAGCCCCAGUGCUUUAAUCUCAUGUAAAUAUCCAUUAGCUAACAAUAAAUUCUUGGCCCGUUCAUCCCUUCUCCCUAGAUAGGGAAAUGCUGACAUUGCCUUUCUCUUUUUUUAAUGGGAACUGAGCCAAUAUACGGCUCCAGGCUGUGUCAGACUUACAGGGGAAGUAGGUAGUGCCCCAUCAAAGCAGAUGAGAACAGGACCGCGGACAGCUCCAAUGGGUCCUGCCAAGGCAGAAGCAGAAGACCUUGUUUCUGCAGGGAGCUAGAGACAAAUGAUGGUUUUUUGUAGGCUGGCCAGACCUGGAAUGUGGGGACCAAGGUUUCCCAAACUUGGGUCUCCAGCUGUUUUUGGAUUAUUACUCCCAUCAUCCCUAGGUAGCAGGAACAGUGGUUAGGGUUGAUUGGAAUUGCAGUCCAAAAACUGCAGGAGACCCAAUUUUGAGAAGCUGUGAUGGUGACCUUUGCUUCCUUGUAGUAGCUGGUGCGGUGGUUAAGGGGGCCUUGCCUUAUUUUGCAGUCUUCUGCCUGGUUUGGAACAUAACAAGGGACUCACCCUCUGAGUCAGUAGAUGGUUACAUGGCGGUGUCCUCUGGCUGGGAGGGUCUUGAGUUAGGCCCUACCAGAUCUCCACCCAAGGAAGAAGACUGAACUUCAUCAGAUUCCUUCACCAUGCACUGCAGCGUCCCCAGAUCAACGCUGUGAGACAGAGGGGCGGGGCAGAGCGGCUUAUCAGAUUCCUAUCAUGUCUUUCGAGGCUGUACUAGCAAGCAUGUUUGUCGCUCCAUCCUAGCCAGUUACCUGCUUGGAUCAGAGAAUUGUAGGAUCUGACUCAUGAAUCUUCUAGUGUGACUUGUUAACCUCAUCUUCAGCUGGCCACUAGAGGGGGACAAAGCUCCACACUGAGUGGAUCUGCAUAGAAUGUUCUCAUGUACUACUCACAAGUUAAAUAAGUCAGUCUGCUGUGAAUUGUGUCAGCUCUAAGGAACUUUCCUUUACGCAAGCAUAAGAUUUCGUUGGCAUAUUCUUUUUAGAAAAAUAGUGGUAAAUGGAAACCAAAAGGUCUGCCCUACACAGAAUAUCCCCGUAAGAGGUCAACUGUUAAAUCCUCCAUUCCCACAACUAUUCCUGCAUCAUCUCCCGGCCACUCCAUUGCUGACUGGUUUCAGGAGAAAGCCAUCUGCUGCCACCUAGCAGAGAAAUGUCAGAAUGGGUCUCAGACUGGUGGACAUAGGCUAGAGGUCACCUGGACUUAAUCUCCUCCUCAAGGCAUCCAGGCUAGACGUAGGUAGUUAUGGAUAACUAGAUUUAAUUUGGAUUUAUUGGGAGCCAGUGGACAGCAUUCUGCCUCAUAGUGCUAGAACUCAGAACCAUACAAUGAAUGAAGCUGAAUGUUUGAAUAUUCAGGACAGACAAAAAUUCUCACAGCAGGUAUUUAAAACCAUGUCCUAAAAUAUGCAGUAAUGGCCGCCAACUUGGAAUGCACAAAUUCAUGGAGCAAAAGUUCAUCAGUGGCUAUAAACCUUGCUGGGAAUCACAAGUAGGGAGGUAGAACAUAGGCAUCUGCUCUGUCACUGUGAGUACUGGAUACUGAAUUAGAUGGUCUCCUGGGCUAAUCUAGCAAAGCUCUUCUCGUGUUCUAAUAGAAUCAGUGGCUGUGGCUUGGCUUCUUUGUCCUGGUUUGUUCAGGCUGAACUGCUCAUACAUUCCUUGAAGCACCAGCUCAGUCUCUGCUGGGUUCACUGUUAGCUUACCUACAUCAUCACCACCAUCACCACCAUCACCAUCACCACUGAUAUUGUUAUUGUUAUUAUUUGAAUUUAUAUACUGCCCUAUAUACUGCUUUAUAGGUCAGAACCAGCACUUUGAAUUGGGCCCAUAAACUAAUUGGUAACCAGUGGAGCUGGACCAGGAUCGGUGUAAUAUGCUCAAACCGUCUUGCUCUGGUGAGCAACCUGGCUGCUGAAUUCUGCACCAGCUGAAGUUUCCGAACCGCCUUCAGAGACAGUCCUACAUAUAACGCAUUGCAGUCAUCUAACCUUGAUGUUACCAGAGCAUAGACAACAGCACUAAGGCCACCCCUGUCCAGUUAGGGGCGUAGCUGGGCCACCAGCUGAAGCUGAUGGAAGGCACUCUGGGCCACUGAGGCCACCUGCUGUUGUGUCUUCACUAGAAGGCGCCCAAGCACUGUGCAACAAUUAAAUAAAAUACAAAAUCAACUGCAAAACAUUAAAGUUUGGAACUCUGGUUCUAUGACAACUCAGCAGAAAAAGUAGCUUGAAAUCACAAUUAAAACAAAAGCCAGUCAGCAAAGAUGGGCCAAAACAUGAUUGCCUACAAGGGUAGGAGGCAAUGUCAACAGCCACACCCAAGCACAUAAUAAACCGGCAAUAAAGCAGAUAAUGAAGGCGGUGGCAGCAAGAUGAGCAGUAAAAUGAGAGAGAAACAGAGCUGAGCUCAGUUACUCUCCUGUUGCAUCACCGGAGAAAGCCAAUGGGAUUGGUCAAUGGGAAUAAACAGAGGAUACAUUUUCCUUCCCACAGAUCCACUGUAAGGUCAAAUAGGAGUUGGGAGAGGAAGCUGGGGGUGGGUUGGAAUAGUACCAAGCCAGUUCAGCAGGAAAGAAGCCACUUCCACAGAUAUCUGUAGUAAUAACCAUGCAGCCUGUGAGAUGAAGAGCCAUAGCAAAAUAGAGUAAUUCCAAAAAGUUGGCAUAAAACUAGUCUGAGCAAUCCCACGUCAGAAGUAGUGGUAUCAACACAACACAAUUGGGGAUGAGUGUUGGGUGCAUUGCGAAGAAGCAAGAAGUGAUAAUACUAGUAAAACAGAAAACAAAACACAAAAAAACAGUAAUAUGACUCAGCCCCCUGUGUCCAGGAUGGGCUUGGCUUGCUCUUUAUACUAGGUUCUUUUAAAGGCCUCCAGAAUGUGGUGAGUUUAUCUUCUUGGCAGAUCUGAAGACAUUUACAACAGGAGAACAUAAACAGGGCAUAAGGAAGAAAAUAGAGAUUUUCAGAUGGAAUUUUUGUUGGGAGAUGUUGAAGGUGUUUGCCUCUUUGAAAAUGUGUGUGAGUGUGUGUAUGAGAGAGGGAGAAAGGAAUUUGUAUUUGAGAUAUAUCUCCACUUUCUAAAUAAAUUUCACUAAUAAGAAAGCAAAGGAAGUAAAAGGAAAGCUGGAGUAGGGGGGAGCAUGAAGACUAACAGGAGACAACAUUAGGCCAGUCACUUCCAAAGGCGGAAAGAAAAUCCUGCCUUGAAGUCCACAUCCUUUAAAGUUCAAGGAGGCCCACAUUGUUGGCCUAGCCUGCCAAAAUGCGUCAGCCACUUAUUAUAUGUGAAUUGCACUCCAGGGAUGGAUUGGGGCAGCGCGGGGGGGGAGGGCUAGAGGGAGAAAAUAUGAUUUAGCGAAAGCUCGUACCCAAAACACAUCAUUGGCCUCUGAACUCUGAACAUUUAAAUAUUUCAAGCUUACAAGCAGGCCCUGUCACGAGAAUGGACCCCAGUCCCAAGCCAGUUCCAGAACAUCUGCUGAGGCAUUUACCAAGUUAAUAGAUUAGCUAUGAAAAUCAGGCAGGUGUUUUUCACCAAAGCCAGAAAACAUCAAAAUCAGAUUGCCCUCCAAGUAUUUCAGCACAGGCAAUUGAGCUGGAAUGACUCAUAGAGUCUAACAGAUAAUAAAACACACAUAACAUUUGCUUUAAGGUACAGGUGGGGAUAUUUUGUACUCUGCUUAGGAGAAGGGGGGGGAGCCGAACCCUGUUUGGGAACAAGGUAAUUGAAUACAGAUGGGAGGAGGCAAAUGAAAGAAUUUUGCAAAUAUCUCAGUGGAAUAGCUAAUGGGAAUGAGACAGAAUAGGAAAUUAAAAAUUAUUCGAAGCAGAUGGACCAUUCUUUGAGUUUUUUUAAAAUUUAUUAGUGCUGCGGAAAAAAAAGUGUCUGUUUAUUUUCCACGGCCAUGAAAUUAAUGACUUGGUGAGUUGUGCUUGUGCAGUUUUAUGACUGCCAUGUCAUUUGUCAUAAUUUGGGUGCUGUUUGAUAUGGAUUUAUGAAUGUUUCCUCUCUCUUUCCUCCCCCAUCACCCCACCCCAGUGUGAUUUAUCGGCGUUGGUCAUAUGUGAAUUAGACUGUCACCUUUAGUAUACGAAAGUACAAAUGACAGAUUAUAAAAGAGUACUCCAGUCCCGGGUAAAUGAGAAGUUGGGGGGGGUGGUGGUUUUGCAGUCACCUCCUCAGCUUAGUUGUCAAGAGUUGUUCUGCUCACCCCCACCCCACCCCACCCCCAAUAUUUAAAGCCGAGAAGGAAAACUUUGGAUUAGACUCGAGCAUGUGGAAACAUUGAAAGGCCCUGAACAGAACUGAACUCAUGUGAACUUCACCUGUGGAUAUAAACGUGACUUCUUUCUUCGUUCCGUCAGGUCAAAGAGAUCCCCCCAUGCCACCUGCUACUGCUUGCAGAGGACAAAAUGCCAGAGUUGGGGUACAUAUGCAUGGGUAGAGAGAUAGAGAGAGAGAGGAAUCACUUAUCACUAAUGUGUUGUUGUUUUUAAACUCUCCCUUCUUCCAAGGAGCUCAGGACAGCACAGAUUCAGUUAACUUAUUUUAUCUUUAUGCAACAAGCUCCAUGUCUGAGCACUUUGUUGUUGUUUCUUUGGGCACCGCUUGCCCCAUGAAAACCCGCUCUUUAACGCUGAAUCAGAACAAAUGGCAAUUUGGGUUUUCUACAAAUUGCUGUUUGGUCCCAGGCACAAGGCAGGAAACAGCAGGAAUCAAGAAUCAGACAAAUUUAGUGGUACCUCAAGUUACAAACGCCUCAGGUUACAAAUGCUUCUGGUUACAAACUCCACUAACCUGGAAGAGUGACCUCAAGUUGAGAACUUUGCCCCAGGAUAAGAAUGGAAAUCAUGUGCGGUGCAGAUGGUGCAAGAGGCCCCAUUAGCGAAAGCACGCAUCUAGUUAAGAACAGUUUCAUGUUAAGAAAGGACCUCUGGAAUGAAUUAAGUUCAUAACUAGAGGUACCACUGUACAGUGUAUGGGGUUGGAGAACGUUACAACUUUAUUGGUUACAGAACAUCAUAUUUUGGCCUGGCCUGGGUCCCUUCAGGCAGCCUGCCUGCUGGCCAGUCUUUGCUCUCCCCACCUGUGUGGACAUCCCUGAGAAGGAUUUGCCACCACAGUGUGAGGCUGAGAUGGUGGGUCCUGCAACAACCUGGGUGUGUGACCUCGAUCCAUGCCCCACAGGGCAUUCUGCAUGCCAAGACUGUGUCCUAUCACCAAACUGUGGGUAUUCUCCUUGCCCAUUCUUCCUUUCCCACUACUCUAGAAUCCAGUACCAUUUCUGCAAUUGAUGGAGUAACUCCAAGCUAUUAUGCCUCCAAAAUACUGUCUGCUGAUGCCAGACAGAAUUUGUGGCUCAUAAAUCAAAUCCGAUCAAGUCACAACAUUUGCAUACAUAUUCUGCUUAAGAGGUAUUUACAAAUUUUGUUUAUAGGCUUUCUUUUUGUUUGGGUCUGUAGAAUAGCACCGAUCAGCUCUUUCAUUCUGUCAUCGCCCUUAUUUACUCACCCCCCACCCCACCCACCUUUUAUAGCAUGGAUAGCUGGAAAUGUUGCUGGCCGCUCAUCAUCAGAACAGGAUAGAUGGAGGUGUUUCAUUUAGAAGAAACACAUUUGGCUGGUCCUGUCUUUGUCAAGAAAGCUCUUUCCUGUUCCAGCGUCAAUUAGCGAGUACAGCUUCCACAGAAAGGAAUUCAUAAUAUCCCACAGACGGCUUGCAGGACUCCAAAAUAAUUUCUCUUCUUAAGCUGCAGCUUCAGUUUAGGCUGCUAUUAAAUUAUUAGUGCAGCAAAAAGGAGGGCCAAGCAAGAUGAGAUGAGGUUGGUUAUGUUUGCUUACUCCCAUAUCUUCCCCAUUCAAAAUAUGAGGGCACCUAAUUUUGCACUAGGGACGCGGGUGGCGCUGUGGGUUAUCCUCCUAAAUUAUGCUGUCAGAUUAAAGGCAAAAAGGUAAAGGACCCCUAGGGACGUGGGUGGCGCUGUGGGUUAAACCACAGAGCCUAGGGCUUGGCAAUCAGAAGGUCGGCGGUUCGAAUCCCCGCGACGGGGUGAGCUCCUGUUGCUCGGUCCCUGCUCCUGCCAACCUAGCAGUUUGACAGCACGUCAAAGUGCAAGUAGAUAAAUAGGUACCGCUCUGGCGGGAAGGUAAACGGCGUUUCUGUGUGCUGCUCUGGUUCGCCAGAAGCGGCUUAGUCAUGCUGGCCACAUGACCCGGAAGCUGUACGCCGGCUCCCUCGGCCAAUAAAGUGAGAUGAGCGCCACAACCCCAGAGUCGGUCAUGACUGGACCUAAUGGUCAGGGGUUCUUUACCUUUAAUUUUGCACUAAGGGUAGCUGAACCCCAGCCUUACAUUGCUUUGUUCAGGUUGCUUCCAGAUGCCUGUGGGGAGGUUAGACAAUGUCAACUUACUCAUUCCAAAGGAGAUUGGGUGACAUUGCAUCAAACAACUGUUAGCCUGCAUUUUCCAGUCCCUUUCCUUAUCACAAAAAAGUCCAGUUUUGGGAGAGAAAGUGUGUUUGUUGCCAAAGAGUGCCAGAUCAAUUUUAAUUGCACAACCUGAACUUGCUGGCAGGUGAUUGAAUCCCACCCAGAAAUAGCAUCAGCCUGGGAUCACCUUCAGUCGCUCCAGGUGUUUUUCUUCCAGCCUGGCUCUCUUCCAAUGACAAAGCUGGCCUAAGAGGAAAAUGUCUGGGACAAUUCAGUGUAGGGAGUUAAAAGACUGAGGAGCAAGAGUGCUCUAUACUCUUCUUCACCCACGCAGCCCUUUGAUGUAAAGAAACUCAACUCUAACCCCCAGUUUAUACAACUACAGAGCGGAUAUGUGAAUAAAUCAACAUGGCUGCUUUCAUCAAAUUGUGCUGUGCUGAGACGCCAUGUUUUUUGGAGUGGUCAGCAUGGCAUGAAAAUUCCUUCAUUGCCCCAAUUGUGUGGUAUAUUAAAACAGGAAUAAGAAAGAAGCAGAGGCGCUGGCUUCUCCAGCGAAUUGUGGUGCCCAACGCACACAUGACAUCAUGAAGAGCCAGGGAGUGGAGCCAAACACUCUCUUUAAAUUGAGGGGGCCCAGUCUCCUCAAGAAUUACAUUCGGGGGGGCCGAAACUGCCUCAGCCCCCAGGAGUCAGUACCUAUAGAGAAAAGCAAGGCAAAGUUGAAUGUGAGCAAGCUUCAAGACACAGGCUUAGCGUUAGCUGGCUUUAUGGAAAAGGAAGGAUUUUGAAGAGGAGAGAAGGUGCACUAAUAAUAAUAAUAAUAAUUAUUAUUAUUAUUAUUAUUAUUAUUAUUAUUGUUGUUGUUGUUGUUGUUGUUGUUGUUUAUUUAUAUCCCUCCCUCUCCAGCUGAAGCCGGGCUCAGAGUGGCUAACAACAUUAAAAUGAUACAACAUUCUAAAACCAUUUCAUUAUAAAAUCAAUUCAAAUCAGAUUAAUGGCAACCUUUGGGCUAGAGUUCUGUGUGGAUUGCCAGAGGAGGGGGUCAGUCUGUGCCCUGGCCAAAGGCCUGGUGGAACAGCUCUGUGUUGCAGGCCCUGCGGAAAGAUGUCAAGUCCCGCAGGGCUCUAGUCUCUCUGGAGCCAAGAGGGAGCUCCAGCGAUGGAGAAUGAGUAGAAUCAUGAGUAGAAUAUUUCAUGGAGGGGUUUCAGCAUCCAAGAGCAGUUGAGCAACGGUGGGAUGAGAAUUCCAAUACUGAAGCUCCCUUUCACUUUUAAAAAGGUGGUUUCAGUCGUCCCUUUUAGGAAAGCUUUCGUGAACAGCUAAAGUGAUGGCGACUCAUUUUCAUGCUUCUGCUCAACGUUCAGAUUCUUUGUGAUCAUGCUCUCCUGAACGUGAUAAUGCUGUAAUGAUGUGGUUUUAAAGCCUAUGGAGUGGAGGGGCUGAAAAAAACAAAACACACACUGGAAGAAAUUUAAAGACUAUUUACAGAAAUAUUGUAAAAUUAAGGAACCUUAGAAGGAUGUUGGAUAGAAACUAAGAGGUUUUUAGCUGUAAUGCUUUAAGAGAUAUGAAAAAAGGUUUACAAUUGGGUAAAAGUUUAAUGGUAAGGAUUUGCUGAACCAACAAACUGAACUGGAAUACAAAAAAGGGAGGUAUGAGGAGGUCCGGGGAAAUAAGUUUAGGGAAGAUAGGUUUGGAAAAUUAAUGUCUUUUUUAACUGUUUUAUUUUGUAUGUUUCUUUUUUAUUCUUUACUUUUUUGUUAUACUUUAAAAAAAACUUUACUCUUUUUUCUGUAUUUUGUAUUUCUUGUAUUUUUUGAAACUUUAAUAAAUAUUAUUUUUUUUAAAAAAUGAAAAAAACAAAACACAGUGAAACUGAUAAAACAAAACAAAAGAAAAGAAAAGAAAAGAAAAGGGGGGUAUUGGUAGAAGAAAACUCCAAAACAUUUCAAGAAAUCCAAGUUAAACUGAAAGAAAAUAACAUGACUAGAGGGACACAAGCAAAAUGAUCUUAAGGUGGUAGUCCUAAAUUGGCAGGAUGGAAGUGAAGCUAGAGGAAUGACCUUGCACUGCUCUAUCCAUUUCUGAGUCAGAUUUAAAACACACACAAAAUACUUUCCUUCCUUUGACAACAGAUUGUUGCUACACUUGAUGUUAGCCAAAAGGCAGAGAUGGAAAGAAGAUAAAGUCCCAACCAGAGAAGAAUGGCAGGUUAAGUUGAUGGAUUAUGCCAAAAUGGCAAAAAUGACCAGAAGAAUCAGAAAUCAGGAAGACUAAAAUUUUAAUAAGGAAUGGGGAAAAUUUAUAAUAUAUCUUAAAAAUCAUUGUAAACAGUUAAAAUCAUUAGUAGGAUUGGAAUAACACCUGUAAUUUAAUGGUGGAUUUUUAUUUUUUUUUAUAAGAUAUUUAUUAAGGUUUUCAGAAUAUUACAAGACAAAAAAAGAAAAAAAGAAAAAAGAAAAAUACAAAAUAAAAACAGUUAAAAACAAUUCCUUCCUUCCGUUACUUAGCCUUCAUUUGCUUAUUUCCAGGACCUCCUCACACCUCCCUUUUUUGUAUUCCAAUUCAGUUAUUAGUUCAACAAAUCCCUCCCCUCUUUAUGUAUCCUAAUCGUUAAUCAUAAAGUAUUUGUAAUUUUAAAUUUUUACCUAUUAAUAAACCAUUUUUUUUCAUAUUCCCUUAUAACAUUUCGGCUAAAGACCACUUAGUUUCUAUCCAACAUCAUUCUAACAUUCAUUAAUUUUACAAUAUUUCUGUAAAUAAUCUUUAAACUUUUUCCAAUCUUCCUCCAUCGACUCUUCUCCCUGGCCUCGGAUUCUGCCAGUCAUUUCUGCCAGUUCCAUAUAGUCCAUCACCUUCAUCUGCCAUUCUUCCAAGGUGGGUAGAUCUUGUGUCUUCCAAUACUUUGCAAUGAGAAUUCUUGCUGCUGUAGUAGCAUACAUAAAAAAAGUUCUGUCCUUCUUUGGCACCAAUUGGCCGACUAUGCCCAGGAGAAAGGCCUCUGGUUUCUUCAAGAAGGUACAUUUAAAUACCUUUUUCAAUUCGUUAUAUAUCAUCAUAUCAAUGGUGGAUUUUGGAUAUAAUGGAGAUGUAAAAGAUUUGGAUUACUAAAAAAAGAUGCAGGAGGAAAUGAUUAACAAUAGGACCCACAAAGGGGAGAAGUCCAGGAGAUUCUUGGGAAUCUAGUUUUUAUUAUGUAUGUUGGAUAUGUGAUUGUAAAACUUUAAUUUGAAAAACCAAAUAAAUAAAUUUAUAAGAAAAGAAAAGAAAACAGUUUGGCCUGUGAGUGCUCCAAAUGGAGAACAGUCUUUACCAAAGGUAUUAUGGGUUUUGAAGACGCUUGAACUCAGGACGAAAGGGAGAAACGUGCUAAGAGGAAGGCACGCUUGACAAACCCUCACCGUGAUCAACUCCUGCCCAGAAACCUAUGCCCCCCCCAUGGAAGGAUGUGUGGAUCCUGAAUUGACCUCCACAGUCACUUACGGACUCACUGUUAAGACCGUGUUCAUGGAAGACAAUCUUACUCGGCUACGAGUGAUCGCCAAAGAAGAAGACAAGGCUGAUUCAAGCCCAGCCAGGUAUGCCACAAGCCACUGACUCAGGUGGAAUGGAUGAAGAGAGGCUGCCAGGCCCAAGCCCCCAAUAACUAGUGGUUGAGGUGGCAGUGGAGUGAGCAUGUGAGAGAGAAACAGAGCCCCAUAUAUUCUAGAAUACCAAAAUGCUUAAUGGAUUAAUCUUAUCUAGAGAAUUUAAAAUGCUAUCUCUUUUGCUAGCCAAAGUUACUUCCCCCCCCCCCCUCAAGGCACAGUUUAGUCCAAGCCUCAGCUGCCUGGUCCCUGCGUUCAUGAUGAGUCAAACAGCUUGUUCCUGCAUGGGAGGGCUGCAGCUAGCAAAUGUUUAUACCACAGAGGUAGAGCCAGAUGGUAGUUCUGGAGGGUUAGAGGGAAUGCAUCAUGUCUACCCAGUGAUGGAUGGACUGGCGAAAACAAAAAACAGGAAGAUGAGGAGGAAAGAGGGGAGGAGGAGGAGAGGAAAGCAGAAAGACCCAAAUCUAAACCUCCCUGCAGGGUCAUCAACUGAACUUCACAAACUAUUGAGAAAUCACGGAUGUUGUUCAUUAUCCUAGUUCAAAGUCACAAUGUGGUAGUAAAUGCGGAGCAGUUUCCUGAAGAUGGAAAGCAGAACUGAAGUUCUCAACACACCGUUAGGUGACUAUGGAUGAAGUGGCUUAUUUUUAGAUGGGUAGCUUGCCUGAACAGACAGAGCAUUCAUCAACUUCCCCAUACAUCAACUGCAGUUCCUAUUUUGCCAGUCAAUGUCUGUUGGUAAUAGCCAGUUGACUGGCUCAAGGCCACACAGUUGAGCUGGGACUUGAACUCAGGCCUGCUAGUGAAAAUGGGGCACAAUCUGACAGGUAAAGAGUAUCAGAACAACAUUAUGGAUUUCUACAAAUACCAACCAUCCACUUUCAUUAUCAACUCUAUUGACCUUUGUGUAUACAUAUGGCAAUUUUACGAGCUUUGGUGUCUUCAGGUCUUCAGUUCUGUGGAAGUAGAGUUGAUCCAUUACACAUUCAAAAUUUCUAAAGCAGAACAGGACUGGUCUGACAAACCAGUGCUGAAAACUUCUUCAAGACAUCCACAGAUGACUACAUCCAUGAUAUAUGCUAACCUGGCACUCUUAAUUUUGGAACAUGGGAUGUUGCCUUAUACCAAGUCAGAUCAUUGGUCCAUCUAGCUGAGAAUUGUCUAUAUGCUGACUGGCAGUGGCUCACCUGGGUUUCAGAUGAAGGACAUACCCAACCCAAUUGCUGGGGAUUGAACCAGGAACCUCUUGCAAGCCAAGCAGAUGUUCCAUCACUGAACUGCACUCCUUCCCUUAAUUAACAAUAGGUGAACCUCAACUGCAAUGACAACCAUAGAGCCUGGAGAUAGUCAGAUCAUGUAUCCAUAGCAGUGACCAGAGGAGCAAUGACUACUGGGAGGAGCACAGAGAAGAAACGCCUUGGCGCAGCAGCACAACUGGACACCUUCAUUUCCCCCAGUUGCAAUGAAACAUGUCUUCCCUGUAUUGGUCUCUACAGCCACAACAGCUUGACCUCACCCCAAAAGUGCACUCUUCCAUUGUCUCCUGAGACAGGUGGAUGCCAGCAACAAGAACCUUAACCCUGGCUCAACUUUUAGUUGGGCUUGGAGAAGCAAUGCGUCCCCACCCCCCAAAAAGUACAGAAUUUUGAUUUAUUCCAACUAUUAUUAGUCAAACUGGAGCACAACAGACUCCUAUCCAAGUUCCAGCCUUACCUGUGAGCCUGCAAGGCCCUUCCUUCUAGACUCUGGGGUCAGAAUGCUCACCUCCUACUUAAGGUAUUUAUUUUUAUUUAGCCAAAUAUUUACAUCUUGCCUUUCUUACACAAAGAAAUCCAGGGCAAUGAACAAUAGCAUAUUAAAGCAAGCACAAAUAAUACCAAAUCCUAAUGCUUACUAUUAAUAAUAGACAGUAAGGUAAAGGUAAAGGAGCCCUGACCAUUAGGUCCAGUCGUGACCGACUCUGGGGUUGCGGCGCUCAUCCCGCUUUGUUGGCUGAGGGAGCCGCCAUACAGCUUCCGGGUCAUGUGGCCAGCAUGACUAAGCUGCUUCUGGCGAACCAGAGCAGCGCACAGAAACGCCGUUUACCUUCCCGCUGGACUUCCCUACUUGUACUUUGACAUGCUUUCGAACUGCUAGGUUGGCAGGAGCUGGGACCGAACAACGGGAUCUCACCCCAUCACAGGGAUUCGAACCGCUGACCUUCUGAUCGGCAAGCCCUAGGCUCUGUGGUUUAACCCACGGCACCACCCACAUCCCCUAAUAAUAAACAGUACUGGUCAUCAAAGUUCAUGAUCAAAACUUUGACAACACUGUUAUCCUAUUUUAUUUUAUUUUUGUAUAAUAUUUUUAUUGACAACUGUCAUCCUAAAUUUAAGGGGUGUACACUGUGCUGAAGAGGGUCAAUGAGGGCAAUGCCUUCCUCUGAUCAUGGGCUUCAAGGCAACGUGAUAGACCACAGACCUACCAGCAUUCCCAGUUUCAGGAUGAGUUAAACAGGGGAACACGAUUUAAUUCCCAGAUGUGUUUUAGUGCCCUGCCUUUACCCCAACAACUCUGCAGCAGUGGUGUGCUUAUUGCUUUUAACGCCACACUCUGCUGCAGUGUGUAAUGGUGGGCUGCUCUGCAGUGUGCCACAAUUUUGGGUGGUCUGCUGAUUGAAUGCUAAUAUGUUCCUCCCAAGUUAGUUAAUGGGGAACAAGGAAGUUUGCUUCCUGCAUCUGGAUCGCAGUGAUUCCAGCCACCUCCAGCAUUUGAAAAGCCAACCUGCUUCUCCCUGGUUACCAUAUAAAAGGUGUUUGCCAGCGAGACAGGUGUCUAACGGUGGAGGCAAUCAGGACACACUGCAAAGGGUAAUCAUGAUUUCCUCUUUUCAGCAGAGCCUGCUGCGGUUGCACGUAGACACUUUGGAAGAGCACGACAUCAUUAGCCAAAGAAGGAAGCAGGUGUCAGGGACACAACACUCGGGAGGGAGUUGCUCUGGCUGAACUGCAGCCUAUGGACCACAAUAGCAUCCAUGAAGCCUUUUUUCCAGAUUGGCUGAUUGUGGACGUUACACACCGCAUUGGCCUGGAACUAUGCUAUACAGAUGGCAUUAGCAACUUUAGAUAGCCUUUGCUGAAUGUUGCUAAAGCUUGCCUUUCUAGAUCAAAGGCUGUCCACUUUCUGAAUUCUUUCUUUCUUUCUUUCUCUCUCUCUCUCUCUCUCUCUCUCUCUCUCUCUCUCUCUGUGAGCUAGUGUGGUGUAGUGGUUAAGAGCGGUAGCCUCGUAAUCUGGGGAACCAGGUUCGCGUCUCCGCUCCUCCACAUGCAGCUGCUGGGUGACCUUGGGCCAGUCACACUUCUCUGAAGUCUCUCAGCCCCACUCACCUCACAGAGUGUUUGUUGUGGGGAGGAAGGGAAAGGAGAAUGUUAGCCGCUUUGAGACUCCUUAAAGGGAGUGAAAGGCAGGAUAUCAAAUCCAAACUCUUCUUCUUCUUCUUCUUCUUCUUCUUCUUCUUCUUCUCUCUUUCUCUUUCUUUUUUCUUUCUUUCUUUCUUUUCUUCUCUCUCUCUCUCUCUCACACACACACACACAAAUAUAUAAAAAUACACAGAGAUCCAUUUUGCUAAGUUUUCAGAUUGAUAGGUCAUUGUUACAGCUAAGAUCUCCCAAAUUCUCCAGAUGGACUGUGUUGGCUCCCAGGGUCUGUGAAAGUAAAUGUUUGUGUUGCUUGCCCUCUACGGUCAUCAGUGGAUCCUGAUUCUGAGAUGAGCAGUACUUUUUGCAUGUCUCCCUUGGCAUGCUGCUGCUAUAGGUGCAGAGUUUCUGGUAGCAAGCAAGCCUAGUGGUAUCCUCCCACCACAUCCAUCCAGAUUCCCUGUCCAGAACAUGCUGAGAAAGGAAUGAAAUUAUUGGCUGAGGGAACUGGUGAUGUCCUGCAAAGGAACCAACCAGGAUGUCGUUGGACCAAUGCAAUCCUGGCUGGUUGCUUUGCAGAAGCAUUUAGAACUAAGAAGAUUAGAGAGGAGUUAACAGUGAGCUGUUCAGAAUGGGGACAGCGUCUUAGGUGCCCCUAUCUGGACAGGGAUAGCCUAACUACUGUUGUCUAUGCUCUGGUAACCUCAAGGUUAGAUGACUGCAAGGUUCAGAAACUUCAGCUGGUGCAGAAUUCAGCAGGCAGGUUGCUCACCGGAGCAAGACGGUUUGAGCAUAUUACACCGAUCCUGGUCCAACUGCACUGGCUACCAGUUAGUUUCCGGGCUGAAUUUAAAGUGCUGGUUUUGACCUAUAAAGCCUUAAAUGGCUCAGGACAGCAAUACCUCAAGGACCGCCUCUUUCCAUAUGAACCUACCUGGACCCUGAGAUCAUCUUCUGAGGCCCUUCUACAUGUGCCUCCUCCUUGAGAGGUCCAGAGGGUGGCAACCCGAGAAUGGGUCUUCUCUGUAGUGGCUCCCCAUCUGUGGAAUGCUCUCCCUAGGGAAGUUCGCCUAGCACCUUCAUUAUAUACCUUUAGGCGCCAGGCAAAAAUGUUCCUUUUUAACCAGGUCUCUGGUUGAUUAGAUUGACAUCCUAUGCCCUUUUAAAAUGUGGUGGUUUUUUGUGAGGGAGGGCAAUUGGGUUGUUGUUUUUAUUUUUAUUAUAUAUUUUGUGGUUUUAUAUCUUGAUUUUAUUUUGUGAACCACCCUGACACCCCCGGGUAUAGGGUGGUAUAUAAAUUUAAUGAGUAAUAAUAAUAAUAAUAAUAAUAAUGUGCCCAAGAAACUUGAAUGAUAUGAAUCACUAGGGCUGUGAUCCAUCUCUAGUCACACUUUAUUCUUCACAGAUAUUGGCCCAUCUAAAGUCAACAGAUUUGUGGGGUUGGGUCUGCACUGUAGUUUUGCUACAUCCUCUGCAUAGCACACACAUGACAACUCCCUUGCUGGAUUUGGGCAUCUGGAACUCAGCUACAUUAGUAAAGAAAAAGCGCUUCAUAUGAGUUAUAACACUGUGACACCAGAUGGCGCUGUGGACUCCCGUCUGUCACCAAAAGGAUUUCCCUUGAUGAAGUUUACAACGUGUUUAACUGAAUCACUUUUUUGAUGUGUCUAGAUCCAGCCUGGUUAGGGAUAAAGGUAAAAAAGGUAAAGGACCCCUGGGCGGCUAAGUCCAGUCAAAGGCGACUAUGGGGUUCUGGCGCUCAUCUCACUUUCAGGCCAAGAGAGCCAGCGUUUGUUCACAGACAGCUUUCCCGGUCAUGUGACCAGCAUGACUAAACUGCUUCUGGCACAACGGAACACUGUGAUGGAAACCAGAGUGCACGAUAAUGCCAUUUACCUUCCCACCGCAGUGGUACCUAUUUAUCUACUUGCACUAGUGUGCUUUCAAACUGCUAGGUUGGCAGGAGCUGGGACAGAGAAGCGGGAGCUCACCUCGUAGCACAGAUUCGAACCACCAACCUUCCCAUCAGCAAGCCCAAGAGGCUCAGUGCUUUACACCACAGCAUCACCCAGGGGGUCAGGGAUAAUGCUGCAGUGAGACAAGCACAGGCCAUGAUUUAAGAAAGACAGGUGUGUCCCCCCCCCAAGUCUGAGUUAAUAGUUAAGGUUAGUAUAAUUUAUGAAAUCAUGUCGGUGGAAGGUUAAGGUUGUCUUCCCAUUUCCAGGUUCACAUUAAGGCUGCAGACAAUGCAUGCAGACACCUUGACAUGCAAGUGACAGAACCAUACAGCUUCCCGUGCGAGGCAAUGUGAUAACAAUAUUUUACACUCCACUUCAACAUUUGUCAGAUGUCAGAGAAAGCAGUCUCCUAUGUGAUGGCCAGAGAGCAGUCGUGGCUGAAAUGUUAUGUUUGGAGGUGGAAGACUUAGGUAGGAAUUCUGUUAAGACUGACCUUUUCGUCUGACACAACCUGUCAUACCCCCCCCCCCCUUACAGGCACAGAGCAUUUGCAAGAUUUCAAAAACUUGCAAGUUUGCUACUGAAAAAUGGGCAGAGAACUGAAUUCAGUUUAAGGACCUAAGACCUUUGAGAGAGAGAGAGAAUGAGAGAGAGAGAGAGAGAGAGAGAGGUGUGAACAAAAAGAUAGAAAUUGGAGCUGCAUCUCUGGGACAGUCAACCUCUUCUUUUCCAUUCAGGAGGAAAACGUGUUCCUCAAGUUGCUCCAUUCUUUGCCAGGCAUGGUCAACCUAGAAAGUCUACUUUUGAGAUUAGGCCUGACUUCUUCCUGACGUAAAUAGGUACUUCAUCAGCUGCCACCAGUUUUUCUCAUGUUGUUGUUGUUGUUGUUGUUUAGUUGUUUAGUCGUGUCCGACUCUUUGUGACCCCAUGGACCAGAGCACGCCAGGCACUUCUGUCUUCCACUGCCUCCCGCAGUUUGGUCAAACUCAUGCUGGUAGCUUCGAGAACACCAUCCAACCAUCUCGUCUUCUGUCGUCCCCUUCUCCUUGUGCCCUCCGUCUUUCCCAACAUCAGGGUCUUUUCCAGGGAGUCUUCUCUUCUCAUGAGGUGGCCAAAGUAUUGGAGCCUCAGCUUCAGGAUCUGCCCUUCCAGUGAGCACUCAGGGCUGAUUUCCUUAAGAAUGGAUAGGUUUGAUCUUCUUGCAGUCCAGGGGACUCUCAAGAGUCUCCUCCAGCACCAUAAUUCAAAAGCAUCAAUUAUUUGGCGAUCAGCCUUCUUUAUGGUCCAGCUCUCACUUCCAUACAUCACUACUGGGAAAACCAUAGCUUUUACUAUACGGACCUUUGUUGGCAAGGUGAUGUCUCUACUUUUUAAGAUGCUGUCUGGGUUUUUCUCAUAGCUCAUUACUUACCAGUUGUAUACAUGGCAGAGAGCAUGCCACAGCUUACCUUAGGAGCCUCUAUCAAAUCCAAACCAAAUAGUUCUUUCUCCUUAAUAACAUUUCAAAGCCAUCUUCCUCAGCUUGUGCGUGUACAAGCUGACUUCACAAUAGCAGGACACAUUGCUUUAAAUAGAUUUGUGAACCCUAUGAUGACACAAAGCUCAUUUUCUUUCCUGUAUUAAAAUACUGCCCCUAUCCUUACAAUGUGGUGUCAUUUUGAGUUGUCUGGCAUACUUGCAGUGACUUUAUCAGGGAGGAAGAGUAAAAUGUGGUUUCUUUCUGUCCUGCUGAGCUUUUUAAAAAAUACACAUACGCACGGACAACUAACAAAAUACAGCUGUUCUGUAGUGGCUAAAGGGUUUGGCAGCUGUUUGUAGGGAAAACAUGAAAACUUGCAAGGGGUCCCUUUCCUGGAUAUCUGGAAGUCAGGGGGAUGGACAAUGGCUCUCCUAAGAAAAACAGCUGGCCUUCAGAAAAGUUAAGUAGCUGAAAUAUAAAAGGGCCAAAUGGUGGGGGAAUCUUUCAACAUGCCAUUAAGAAGAGGCUAGGACAACCUCAUAUUUCUGUGUCAAACAGGAUAGGGUGUUGUACCCAGAGCCAGCCCCAGGUCAGAGGUGUUCCUCAGUAAAGUGCCCUCUGGUGGUCCCCAGCUGCAAGCCAUGAUGCCCCUGAUGUCUUCUUUUUCUUUGGUGAUCACUCAUAGCCGAGUAAGAUUGUCUUUCAUAAACAGUUUUAACAGUAAGUCCGUGAGUGACUGUGGAGGCCAAUUCAGGAUCCACACGUCCUUCCACAGUGGGGACAUAGGUUUCUCAGCGGGAGUUGAUCAUGGUGAGGGUUUGCCAAGUGUGGCUUCUGCUUGGCUCGUUUCUCUCUUUUGUCCUGAAUUUGAGCAUCUUCAGAACCCAUGACACCCUUGGUAAAGGCUGUUCUCCAACUGGAGCGCUCGCAGGCCAGUGUUUCCCAGUUGUCGGUCUUUAUACUACAUUUUUAAAGAUUUGCCUUGAGAGAGUCUUUAAACCUCUUUUGUUGACCACCAGCAUUACACUUUCCAUUUUUAAGUUCGGAGUAGAGUAGUUGUUUUGGAAGAUGAUAAUCAGGCAUCCGCACAACAUGACCAGUCCAGCGAAGUUGAUGAAAAAUCACUGCUUUGACACUGGUGAUUUUUGCUUCUUCCAGUACAUUGGCAUUAGUUAGCCUGUCUUCCCAAGUGAUGUGAUAUAACAUUGCUUGGGAUGUAGUGGUAAAUUUAAGAGGGAGACUCCAUUUAAAUCUUCCACAAUACCCUGGAAUGACACUGCAUCAGGGUCAUUGUGCAAUGCCACAGACCCAAGUGCUCAUCCCAAGGCUGAUAGUAGUGAUGGACCCUCCAAGGGUGUUGGGUCUAAGGAUGCCAGGUGCUGAUGCUUGUUGUGUUAGUCCCUUUAUCGGGAUCACCAGAUUUCUGGAGCCUCAGGUUCUGAGAUUCUGUUGAAGGAACCUGGAGGUAGGAGAUGAUGCACGGAGACUGGAGACAGCUUGAUGGAGUAGCGGUAGAGCACAUGGGCACCUAGAGCAGGCAAGGGUUGGUGCAUGGCAUGUCUGGGAGCAACACAGUGUGAACCUGGCAGUUCAGAAUGAAGGCUGCCAAUCUAGUGGACCAGAGGAUCAGUGCCUUGUUUAGCAUGAGCCCUGUGGCACCUGACACUGCCUUAGUGUGUCAGUUUUUUCCUCAUCCUAAUAAAUUAUCCAAACCCAGAAUGAACUUGCUUAAAAUAUACAGUAAUUUCAUAGUUCUCAGAUUUGCUAAUAAUUUAGAGACCUAAAGAAAAACCCAACUCAGACAACUAAGUUCUUGCUUUAGCAUACCCUAAAGAACGUUUAAGCCUCUGAUGCCGAUUGUUUUCACAGGUGUUGGCAACAUAUGAAUUAAAUGAAGGAAGCAUGGAUGACUCAGUAGGCCAAUGCCGUUUUUCUAUCCUGUUCUAACAACUGCAAAGAAGGUAUAAUUUAUGUUGGCUGACAAAUCUUGGUAAGUAAUGUUCUAUUUCAUUGGCAGAAAAAGAAGAAUAUUCCAGAUGACUGCUGUGGUCAACAUUUUUAGCGCUCGAACCAGGGUUUUGUUUGUGUUUGUGUUUUGUUUUCUUAGGGACUUCUGAGAGCUAAAGUUAUAGGUACAUUUAAAAAGCCAAAAGGAAUAUAAGGAUUUUGGAUAUACUGCCAUAUUGCACUUUCAAGGAACAAUGAAGUAUGUACCCUCUUAUAGCCAUAAUAGUCCAAUUCCUCAUCAAAACAAGAAAAUCUAUAUCUUUCCUUUCUCUCUCUUUUUCAGAGUAAAUGCUUAAUAUUUCCAAAUUGUCUUGUAACGAAGUUCAAAUAUAAAUGUGAAAAAGUCACAGAGAAGCAGAUUUGGAGUUGGAAAGUAGCAAAUAACCAAGCAUAUCCAACAUCCCCGGUAUUAUGGAUUUCCAGGUUUCUUAACUGGAGUUGUAAAAGCUUGCCUUCAUAACGCAACUUGCACAUCUCUCUUCCCACGGCUAAUGUUUUAACAGAAAUGUAAGGAACCUCUGUUUUCCUUCUGCUGCAUAUCUGACUAGAGUACAGGAAUAGUUGGUGGGGGUGUACAUUAACCACAAUAUUUUGUUUGGACUCCGAUUCAGCACUUUGGAAAAUAGCCUCCCUCAGCCUUUGUAGACUGUCUGAUUCAGCUCAGGAUUUGUCCAAGUCUGCUUCGUUUCCACUCAUUCACAAUUGAGAAGUGAAUGAAAGACAGAAGUGAAUGAAAUUUGCAGACAUACUAGCCCUUCCAGAGUGGAUGAAGCCUGCCAAAUUAUAAGUAAAUAGAUCCAGGGGCACAGACACACACAAAAUGUCCAUAACUAUUAAAAUUUGCAGCAGAAUUGGAUGAGAUCUUCAGGCAAGAUAGUCCCUUCCAAGGACAUGGAUCCUGCUAAAUCUCAAAAAGGAUGGUUGCAAUUGCUUCCCCUCAAGGGCAGUAGGCACAGUUCUGGGAUCCCCUCAUUCUCCAUCUCCCAUUCACUAUUUGGAAAUUUUAAAAAAUGC